rnacentral:rRNA from 1 species
GUUGACCUCGGAUCAGGUAGGGAUACCCGCUGAACUUAAGCAUAUCAAUAAGCGGAGGAAAAGAAACCAACAGGGAUUGCUCUAGUAACGGCGAGUGAAGCAGCAAUAGCUCAAAUUUGAAAUCUGGCGUCUUCGACGUCCGAGUUGUAAUUUGUAGAGGAUGCUUCUGAGUAACCACCGACCUAAGUUCCUUGGAACAGGACGUCAUAGAGGGUGAGAAUCCCGUAUGCGGUCGGAAAGGUGCUCUAUACGUAGCUCCUUCGACGAGUCGAGUUGUUUGGGAAUGCAGCUCUAAAUGGGAGGUAAAUUUCUUCUAAAGCUAAAUAUUGGCCAGAGACCGAUAGCGCACAAGUAGAGUGAUCGAAAGAUGAAAAGCACUUUGGAAAGAGAGUUAAAAAGCACGUGAAAUUGUUAAAAGGGAAGGGAUUGCAACCAGACUUGCUCGCGGUGUUCCGCCGGUCUUCUGACCGGUCUACUCGCCGCGUUGCAGGCCAGCAUCGUCUGGUGCCGCUGGAUAAGACUGGAGGAAUGUAGCUCCCUCGGGAGUGUUAUAGCCUCUUGUGAUGCAGCGAGCGCCGGGCGAGGUCCGCGCUUCGGCUAGGAUGCUGGCGUAAUGGUCGUAAUCCGCCCGUCUUGAAACACGGACCAAGGAGUCUAACAUCUAUGCGAGUGUUCGGGUGUCAAACCCCUACGCGUAAUGAAAGUGAACGGAGGUGAGAACCGCAAGGUGCAUCAUCGACCGAUCCUGAUGUCUUCGGAUGGAUUUGAGUAAGAGCAUAGCUGUUGGGACCCGAAAGAUGGUGAACUAUGCCUGAAUAGGGUGAAGCCAGAGGAAACUCUGGUGGAGGCUCGCAGCGGUUCUGACGUGCAAAUCGAUCGUCAAAUUUGGGUAUAGGGGCGAAAGACUAAUCGAACCAUCUAGUAGCUGGUUCCUGCCGAAG